rnacentral:rRNA from 1 species
CCGGUUGAUCCUGCCGGACCCGACUGCUAUCAGAGUGGGACUAAGCCAUGCGAGUCAACGCAGCAAUGCGUGGCAUACGGCUCAGUAACACGUAGUCAACAUGCCCAGGGGACGUGGAUAACCUCGGGAAACUGAGGAUAAACCGCGAUAGGCCAAGAUUUCUGGAAUGGAUCAUGGCUGAAACCUACAUGGCCCCUGGAUUGGACUGCGGCCGAUCAGGCUGUUGGUGAGGUAAUGGCCCACCAAACCUGUAACCGGUACGGGCUCUGAGAGGAGGAGCCCGGAGAUGGGCACUGAGACAAGGGCCCAGGCCCUAUGGGGCGCAGCAGGCGCGAAACCUCUGCAAUAGGCGAAAGCUUGACAGGGUUACUCUGAGUGAUGCCCGUUAAGGGCAUCUUUUGGCACUUCUAAAAAUAGUGUAGAAUAAGGGGUGGGCAAGUCUGGUGUCAGCCGCCGCGGUAAAACCAGCAAUC